rnacentral:rRNA from 1 species
GAUCAUGGCUCAGGAUGGACGCUAGCGACAGGCCUAACACAUGCAAGUCGAGGGGCAACGGAGAGGUAGCAAUACCUUUGCCGGCGACCGGCGCACGGGUGAGUAACACGUAUGCAAUCCACCUGUAACAGGGGGAUAACCCGGAGAAAUCCGGACUAAUACCCCAUAAUAUGGGCGCUCCGCAUGGAGAGCCCAUUAAAGAGAUCAAUUUUGGUUACAGACGAGCAUGCGCUCCA